rnacentral:rRNA from 1 species
UGGGGAAUAUUGCACAAUGGGCGAAAGCCUGAUGCAGCAACGCCGCGUGAGUGAUGAAGGCCUUCGGGUUGUAAAGCUCUGUCUUUGGGACGAUAAUGACGGUACCAAAGGAGGAAGCCACGGCUAACUACGUGCCCAGCAGCCGCGGUAAUACGUAGGUGGCAAGCGUUGUCCGGAUUUACUGGGCGUAAAGGAUGCGUAGGCGGAUUUUUAAGUGAGAUGUGAAAUACCCGGGCUUAACUUGGGUGCUGCAUUUCAAACUGGGAAUCUAGAGUGCGGGAGAGGAGAAUGGAAUUCCUAGUGUAGCGGUGAAAUGCGUAGAGAUUAGGAAGAACACCAGUGGCGAAGGCGAUUCUCUGGACCGUAACUGACGCUGAGGCAUGAAA